CAAAUGCACACAGGAGCAGAGGGGCCACCUGAGGGGAGAGGGACCAAGCCCCCAGGGCUCUGGCUUUGAGAUUUGCCGUGAAUAAAAAUCUACGGAUAACCUGAGUGAGGUGGCACAAAGGAAUCAGGAAGCUUUUGAGAGAGAAUCCACCCUAAGGCUGGGGGAAAUAGAAGCAGUGGGUGGGCUUCUACUCCAAAGGCCAGGUAUUAAAGGGUCAGGGUUCUGAAACUGCAAAGAGACUGCCCCCAUAUGAGUAUAUCUGAACCCUUGCCGUGGGUAACCCCUCCUGAGAACUGCCUCCUGAGACCAUGAAGACCACUGCCCGGAUCCCACCAGCAGAGGAAGGAAAAUGAGCGGUGAGAUCAAGAUGUCACCGGGGAGACAAACCACUGAUUUCUCAAGAUGCACAAGUGGUUGGUUAUCCACCCCAGCAAAUUCACAGAAAUGCCUGACCCUGGGGCAUGCAUUUCCCAAACUCAAUUUCAAUGUCUUAAAACUGUUUGGACUUGAGGAUAGUGAGCCAUGCUAGCAAAACUUAUAAGAAACUGAUAUGUUAACAACACAAUGAAUUAACAUUACGAUUAUGAUCACGGCUGAAGACUUACUGUGGGUCAGGCAUUCAGCAGGACACUUUUCUGCAUUAUGUGUGCUUUUCCUUGUUUCUCAUGCCUACCCAUACCUAUGAGAUGGUGACUCUUCUCAUCCUCAUUUUUCAGAAGUGGAAGCUGAGCUCCAGGUCUCACAUAUUGUAAAUGGCAGAGCCAUUUUUCAAACUCAGGAACCACUUCUCCAUUUACGUUUUGGCCAUUCCUCUCUGUUGCCAAGACAAGCAUAAGUGCCAAGCCAUCAAGAAAAGCCCUGUCCUAUGCUUUCUCUGCACAGGCAGAUUUUCGGAAGGGUGCUCACUGAGGCUGGAAUCCAAACGCGGGGAGCACUGUGAUGUGAGUCUCUCAGGGCCUCCCUCGGUGGCUGGAUGUACCUGCCAGGCUAUCCCUCUCAGAGCACCUUCCCUCUGAAGCCCAGGGGGUCCUGUCCAGGCUGCUUUGGGAUGCUCCCUGUUCUGUUUUCCUGAUGCAGGCUGGAAAACCCCCAACAUAGCCAUGUGCAACCCUUAAGUUCCACUAGGUGCUGGCCUUCUGUCUCUUUGAGAAGACUUUGAAAAUCUGUGUUCUAAUCUAAUCUGUGCUCAAAAGGUGGGAGAUAAUGGAUGAUUCCACUUAUAUGAGGUCCAUAGCAAUAGACCAAUUCAUACAGAGAUAGAACAGAAUAGAGGUUACCAGAGACUGAGAGGUGACGGGAAUAGGGACUUGUUGUUUAAUGGGUACAGAGUUUCUAUUGGGGAUGAUGAAAAAGUUAUAGAUAGAUAGAUAGAUAGAUAGAUAGAUAGAUAGAUAGAUAGACAGACAGACAGCGGUGAUGGUUACCCAGCAUUGUGAAUGGAUUUAAUGCUACUGAACUGUGCCUUUAUGAAUGCUUAUGAAUGCUUAAAAUGAUACAUCUUAUGAUAUUUUUACCAUAAUAAAAAGAUAAAUAAAUAACAUCUGAUAUAUGCUGCAACAUAGAUAUACCUUAAAGACAUCACGCUAGGUGAAAUAAGCCAGACACAGAAGGACAAAUACUGUGUGACUGCACUUAUGUGAGAUACCUAGAGUGGUCAUAUAUUUCUAGAGACAGAACGUGGAAUGGUGGUUUCCAGGGGCUGGGGGAAGAAGAGAAUGAGGAGUUGGUGUUUCAUAGGUAUGGAGUUUCAGUUAGGGAUGAUGAAAAAAUACCCAGAGCUGGAUGGUGGUGAUGGUUGCACAAGGUUAUGAAUGCGCUCAAUGUCACUGAAAUGUACAUUUUAAAUGGUUAGAAUGGUAAAUUUUAUGUUAUGUAUAUUUUACUCCAAUGAACAAUUUUUAAUAAAUGAGGAAGAAGGUAUUUUGCCC
rnacentral:lncRNA from 1 species